GUCUUUUAUUUGGUUAUACAAUUUUAUGUCUAUUAUUUUGGUUCAGUAAAUGAUUUUUGGUUCUCUGUCUAGCAGAAAUCCUUAUGUCUUUCAACCUCUCAUCCUUCUCUCUUAUUUCUUCCUCUUUUGUUAUCUUCUUUAUUUUGUUGCCUAUCUCUUCUUUUUCUUCUUUCUUCUCUCUUCUGUUGCUUCUCUCUUUCUCUUCUUUUUUCUUCUCUUUUCCUUUUCUUCAACCAAUACUAUAGGAUUUUGGGAGGAUUUACAGAGAUUUAUGAUUCCAAGUUUUUCAAUGGUAGAUUUGUGGUGGCGGCAACAUGUUUCAUGUGGUUUUGAGUGUCGGUAUGGUCCGCAGCAAAAGUCUUAGCAGAAGUCGGUAUGGUCAACAACAAAUUAUCUUGGAAGAAUAGUUCUAAUGAUUGUGGAUCUGACGGUAAAAAAAAUUUUAAAAAAUUCCUGGUAUGUAAAUUUGUAUUUCAUCACUCUUUUACACUUCAAAAUCAAAUUAUGUUGUACUAAAUGGAAGAUAUGUCAACUGCAUAUUCAUUUCACGAUAAGAUCUAAUGGAAUGGAGAACUCAAGUUGAGUAUGGAUUUUUCUAUGGGAUAAUUGAUCAGGUAAGCUAUAUUUUUAAAAGACAAGUAUUUAGGGAAUUUUUUUAAAUAUGCGUGAUGAAAAGCUUCUCUUGUUUGUCAUCUCUUAAAAUCUGACAUUUUUACCAUCCAAAUAUCAAUUGAAAAAGCAGGUUAUAUGGAUGUAAAAGAGAUAACUUCUGCAGGAGUUUAUUUGGACAUGUUGGCAAGAGAUAGUAGUAUACUUCAAAAUUAUUGGAUGAUGGUAUCUCAGAUCUUGAUUCUAACAGAUGCUCUGAAGAAGAUAAUGUUAAUAUUGAGUUAUUGACUAUUUUUAGUGGUUGAUUCAUGUGUUAUAACAUAUGUAUCAAGAAACAUUGACUAAUGCUUGAAAAAUCAAUGAUUUUUCUUUCU